ACUCCUACGGGAGGCAGCAGUGGGGAAUAUUGCACAAUGGGCGCAAGCCUGAUGCAGCCAUGCCGCGUGUAUGAAGAAGGCCUUCGGGUUGUAAAGUACUUUCAGCAGUGAGGAAGGCGGAGUCGUUAAUAGCGGCCUCGUUUGACGUUAGCUGCAGAAGAAGCACCGGCUAACUCCGUGCCAGCAGCCGCGGUAAUACGGAGGGUGCGAGCGUUAAUCGGAAUUACUGGGCGUAAAGCGCAUGCAGGUGGUUUGUUAAGUCAGAUGUGAAAGCCCGGGGCUCAACCUCGGAAUUGCAUUUGAAACUGGCAGACUAGAGUACUGUAGAGGGGGGUAGAAUUUCAGGUGUAGCGGUGAAAUGCGUAGAGAUCUGAAGGAAUACCGGUGGCGAAGGCGGCCCCCUGGACAGAUACUGACACUCAGAUG
rnacentral:rRNA from 1 species